AGGGAUUUAGGUUAUAUAAGACCAAGAGCCUUCAAAGCCCUAAGAAGAUUAAUUAAGUCUAAUCCCUG
rnacentral:tRNA from 1 species